AUUGAACGCUGGCGGCAGGCCUAACACAUGCAAGUCGAGCGGAUGAAGGGGGCUUGCUCCUGGAUUCAGCGGCGGACGGGUGAGUAAUGCCUAGGAAUCUGCCUGGUCGUGGGGGAUAACGUCCGGAAACGGGCGCUAAUACCGCAUACGUCCUGAGGGAGAAAGUGGGGGAUCUUCAGACCUCACGCUAUCAGAUGAGCCUAGGUCGGAUUAGCUAGUUGGUGGGGUAAAGGCCUACCAAGGCGACGAUCCGUAACUGGUCUGAGAGGAUGAUCAGUCACACUGGAACUGAGACACGGUCCAGACUCCUACGGGAGGAAGCAGUGGGGAAUAUUGGACAAUGGGCGAAAGCCUGAUCCAGCCAUGCCGCGUGGGUGAAGAAGGUCUUCGGAUUGUAAAGCACUUUAAGUUGGGAGGAAGGGCAGUAAGUUAAUACCUUGCUGUUUUGACGUUACCAACAGAAUAAGCACCGGCUAACUUCGU
rnacentral:rRNA from 1 species